rnacentral:rRNA from 1 species
UACGGGGGGGGCAAGCGUUGUUCGGAAUUACUGGGCGUAAAGGGCUCGUAGGCGGCCAACUAAGUCGGAUGUGAAAUCCCCAAGCUUAACUUGGGAACUGCAUCCGAUACUGGAUGGCUUGAAUCCGGGAGAGGGAUGCAGAAUUCCAGGUGUAGCGGUGAAAUGCGUAGAUAUCUGGAGGAAUACCGGUGGCGAAGGCGGCAUCCUGGACCGGCAUUGACGCUGAGGAGCGAAAGCUAGGGUAGGCAAACGGGG